rfam:Bacteroidales bacterium Barb7 Barb7_contig_1039, whole genome shotgun sequence.
GGUCCCAUAGCUCAGUUGGUUAGAGCACCUGACUCAUAAUCAGGGAGUCCUUGGUUCAAGCCCAAGUGGGACCA